rnacentral:rRNA from 1 species
GCAGAGACUAAACCUCGUACCUUUUGCAUCAUGACUUAGCCAGUAUGCUUCAAGCAAAGAUUACUUUAGUUUGACACCCCGAAACUGAGGUGAGCUACUCCAAGACAGCCUGCCUGUAGGGCACACCCGUCUCUGUAGCAAAAGAGUGGGAAGAGCUUUGAGUAGAGGUGACAGACCUACCGAACCCAGUAAUAGCUGGUUGCCUGUGAAAUGAAUUUAAGUUCAGCCUCUCGGCUUCUCCAUAACCCGAGAAGGUUAGCCAAAGGGGGAACAGCCCCUUUGAACCAAGACACAACUUUAUUAAGAGGAUAAAGACCAUAGCCCCACUAAAGGUAAAAUAUUCCAGUUGGCCUGAAAGCAGCCACCCUUGAAGAAAGCGUUACAGCUCAAAUAUUAAUCCCGGCAGCACCAUCUUAAUCCCCUAAUCUUACCAGGCCCUUCCAUGCAAACAUGGAAGAGAUUAUGCUAAUAUGAGUAAUUAGAGCGGACCCUCUCCACGCACACGUGUAAAUCGGAAUGGACUCCCCACCGAACAUUAACGGCCCCAAACAAAGAGGGAACCGGAGUAUAACAAGAAAACCCCCACCGUUAACCCUACACAGGUGUGCUCCUAAGGAAAGACUAAUAGAAAAAGAAGGAACUCGGCAAACAAGCCUCGCCUGUUUACCAAAAACAUCGCCUCUUGAAAAAAUAAGAGGUCCCGCCUGCCCAGUGAAUCCUUUAUCAACGGCCGCGGUAUUUUGACCGUGCAAAGGUAGCGUAAUCAUUUGUCUUUUAAAUGAAGACCUGUAUGAAUGGCUCGACGAGGGCUAAGCUGUCUCCUUUUUCAGGUCAAUGAAAUUGAUCUCCCCGUGCAAAAGCAGGGAUAUACACAUAAGACGAGAAGACCCUAUGGAGCUUUAGAUGCCACGGCAAGCGUUACCUGCUACUUCCAAACAAAGGAACACCCACUAGCUUCUGCCUCAGCAUCUUCGGUUGGGGUGACCAUGGGGAACAAAAAACCCCCACGAUGCACUGAGAUGUUCCUCUCAAACAAGAGCCGCAGCUCUAAUUAACAGAAUUUCUGACUACCGAUCCGGCAACGCCGAUUAACGAACCAAGUUACCCUAGGGAUAACAGCGCAAUCCCCUUCAAGAGCCCAUAUCGACAAGGGGGCUUACGACCUCGAUGUUGGAUCAGGACAUCCUAAUGGUGUAA